rnacentral:rRNA from 1 species
GCGACCCCAGGACGGGCGAGGCCACCCGCCGAGUUUNAGCAUAUCAAUAAGNNGAGGAGAAG